UCGAAAUAUUCCGUGUCUGUCCAGUCCUGUAACUGAGUGUAAGUUGUAAAGGUAAACACAAAUUGGAAAGAACGACAUAGUUGCAUGGGGAAAGAUCUGUUGGCCACAGGAUUUCAGAUACAUGGUAGUGUUGAAAUCUGAACACAUCCGGAUAAUUAUUUCUAUAACUAUUUGAAGCCGUACAUCAGUGGCCUUGUUAAAGUUUGUAUACACAAAUUCAACAUAUACCAGGAUACGAUCUGUAAUCUGGCAUCAGCUGGAGCCAUUAUAUAAUCGGAAGCAAAG